rnacentral:rRNA from 1 species
AGUCGAGCGAAUGGAUUGAGAGCUUGCUCUCAAGAAGUUAGCGGCGGACGGGUGAGUAACACGUGGGUAACCUGCCCAUAAGACUGGGAUAACUCCGGGAAACCGGGGCUAAUACCGGAUAACAUUUUGAACUGCAUGGUUCGAAAUUGAAAGGCGGCUUCGGCUGUCACUUAUGGAUGGACCCGCGUCGCAUUAGCUAGUUGGUGAGGUAACGGCUCACCAAGGCAACGAUGCGUAGCCGACCUGAGAGGGUGAUCGGCCACACUGGGACUGAGACACGGCCCAGACUCCUACGGGAGGCAGCAGUAGGGAAUCUUCCGCAAUGGACGAAAGUCUGACGGAGCAACGCCGCGUGAGUGAUGAAGGCUUUCGGGUCGUAAAACUCUGUUGUUAGGGAAGAACAAGUGCUAGUUGAAUAAGCUGGCACCUUGACGGUACCUAACCAGAAAGCCACGGCUAACUACGUGCCAGCAGCCGCGGUAAUACGUAGGUGGCAAGCGUUAUCCGGAAUUAUUGGGCGUAAAGCGCGCGCAGGUGGUUUCUUAAGUCUGAUGUGAAAGCCCACGGCUCAACCGUGGAGGGUCAUUGGAAACUGGGAGACUUGAGUGCAGAAGAGGAAAGUGGAAUUCCAUGUGUAGCGGUGAAAUGCGUAGAGAUAUGGAGGAACA